AAGAAAAACUCCUGCCUCAUUGUUAGCAAGGAGGAAUCAGACACGUAGCCGUUCCUGGAUUUUAUCGGAGGCUUUAACUACAGGUUUGACAGGGAGAAAGCUACACAUUUUGCUACCAAAAACAGGUUCAGGUGCUGCGGCGGCUGGUUAAUGGAUAACCUUGGGCUCGGCGCUGGCGGGGACCAAGGGGAGGAGGCGGCCG